UUCCACCAACAAAAGAGAGUUUUCUUGUUGCCUUCUUAACAUUUGUAGGUUGUUUUUUACUAGCAUCUCUUGGAACUUUUCAUUGCUAGGUGUGGAUCUUGUUCAUCAUCUUACACUUGGAUCCUUGUUCACCAUCAUCCUAAGGAAAGUUGUUGGUGAAGCAACAUGGAUCUAGUGGUCAUCGGGUUUUUGUCAAAGGCAAUCCCCCGUCAACCCCGCCUCCGGACGCAAUGUUCUAUCGGGCCCCGGCCGCCGUGCAAACUGACAUUCGCCCGAAAACCAUACUGCCCUCACACAAGAACCUUGCUGGGGUAACAGCUGGGUAAAACCGGGUUGCCCUCCGGAUCGAACCAUGCCUCGGUAGGAAACGACCCAUCAUUGGAACGUCCCGCACGUUUUGCUACAGCUGGGAGUCGAACCGACGUCUCCAAGGAGAACACCAGCCCAGCUGACCAACUGAGCUAUUGAACACAAGAUGUUUUCUCAUUACUUGGAAAAUUGCACUCUGUUAAAAAAAAUCUAGCAAAUUUCACGAAUAUAAAG
rnacentral:lncRNA from 1 species